rnacentral:rRNA from 1 species
GCGUCCGGCCACACCACCCUGAACGCGCCCGAUCUCCUCUGUCUCGUGAAGCUAAGCAGGGUCGGGCCUGGUUAGAACUUGGAUGGGAGACCGCCCGGGAAUCCCGGGUGCCUUAGGCU